rnacentral:lncRNA from 1 species
CCCCUUUAAAACAGGAUCGCGAACAGGCUAUAGUAUUAAAAUCAGAAAAGUAAAACUAAUAAAUUUUAUUACAUGUUUUUACAACUAAAUCAAAUUUAGACAACUCUAAUUACCACUAGUCCAAAAGACUCGAUCCUGGAUACUCUUCCUGACCAUCAGGUUGAAACUUAGUCACUUGCAAUCCUCGCCUAGCCUUACUCUUAUGCUUAGCCUAAAUAAGCGAACCAUCUUUAACAUUAUCUGAAAGGGGUUAGAAGAAAUAGCAAGAAUGAGCAAAAGAAUGCUCAGCAAGUAUAAUAGUUAAAAAAGAAACAAGAGUUAAUGCAGAGAAAGUAAUUAAACUGGAAGUAUACAAAACAACAUGCUUUUAGCUUGAAGCCAAAACAAUUCAAAAGUAUAUAUAAAUUUCCAAAGCAUUCAGAUAUAUUGGACGUUAAUAGUCACGUAGAUGAUCAGUCUACAGUAACCGGGACAAUGGUUACGCAUUGCCCUAAAAUAAGAUGUUCCGGAACUGAAGACUAGCUAGGUCUCCAUAUAACGCUGGGCCAAGGGCCUCUUAUGCAAACAAAACAAUAGGCUGGGCAAAGACCUCUUACGCAAAGCUGGGCAUCAGCCUCUUACGCAAACAAAACAAUGGUCCAAUGAUUAUAUCUGAAUUUUUCUUUUACUUCCCAGUUCCAAAAAUUUCAAUGUAAUUUAAGUGUCCCAUUUGGAAGGAUAAUAAGUACUAUUCCCAUAAAGCAUUCAUUAAUCGUUCCAAUUCAAGUUUUAGGAAAGACUUUUUCCCAAGGUACAAGUGUUAAAUAAAAGCAGUAUUCAUAGAAAAAGAUUGGUUAGAUAUACUUGCUUUUAAAUAAAGAAGUAGCAUAGGAAUACUUGCAGUAAUAUCAAGUUGAGAAUAAAAUUACUCGCAAGAAAGCUUGAGAGAAAUUAAUCUAUCAAUAUCAUGAUUGAACAAAAUAUCUCACUUGAACAAUAAGUGAAGAGUUAUAGUACUUGCAUAAUAAGGUUUAAAGGAAAUAUCACUUGAACAAUAAGUGAAGAGUUAUAGUACUUGCAUAAUAAGGUUUAAAGGAAAUAUCACUUGAACAAUAAGUGAAGAUAGGGAUACUUGCCUCAGUUCUGCUGAUUUUCACACCGAUUAAUUUCUACCGAACUAUCUCACAGCACAGCUUCGUCUUAAGGAACUAUUGCUGAUUCAAUUCGCAAAGCUAUUCAACUAUUGCUGAAUGUCCUCGAUAUACAAGUCUCGGUUGAUUCUCCAAGAGUAACACAGUAUUUCAGUUGUCGAUGCUGACGGAGUACACUAAUAUCGAAUAACGUUUAAAAUCCGCAAUUAGCUACCCUCCGUAAAUCCAUAUACAUUCUACAUAGUCAGAUAAACAGAUAGCACAUAGUUGAACAAUUUACUUUUAUAACUAUUAAAAGUCAAUAUUGAUAAGCUAACAUAUAACAUGUUUCAAUUAACAAUGUCGCCUUAUUCUUAAAUAUUUAAUAUCCUUUAGCAAGUAAAAUAUAUAUAAUUCCUAAUGAAAAUUCGGCAGCAUCUCCUCUGUUUAUCGGACUAUCCACCUGUUUUCCUAUACUAUUCAACAAGUAAUCAAACUCAAUAAACCAAUCAAAUAUCAUCAACCAUUACUUGCCGACUGAAUUUAAAUAAUUAGCAAAUUCUGAAAUCAUAGCUAAAUUGUAAGUCAUAAUUCAACUUUUUAACAGAAUAUUUCUCAGAGAUCUUUAUAAAUCUUAUAUGCAGAGUUCACAGAAAUUUCAAACUCAACUCAUAGAUUCAACUUGCAAAAACAAUUCUCUUUGUGACAUCAAAACUGAAUUUUCACAAGUUUGCGCUACCAACAUUCAAACAUUUUUAAUAAAUCAAAUAUACAUGAUUUUUACUUGAAAUUUUUAGGAGACCUCCCUGAACUCCUUGAACAGCUACAAAAUAAGUUUUGGCUUAAAAAUCAAAGUUUAAGUAAUUUAAGUAUAAUUUAGAAAGUUAAAAAGCGAAGCAGCUCUGCACAUACUAUACCAAAAUAAUCAUAACUAAUAGCUCGUUAACUCAAAUAACACAAGGUUUUCGCGUGGACAAACUAGACUCCGAGUAGAACAUUCCCAUCCUAUACCCACUAUACAAAAUAAGGGACAAGCAGUCACGAUAUACCAUAACAGAACAGGACAGUGCAGAUUCCAGUUCAUAUCAAUUUCACUACUAAACAACUCAUAUAACUGCAUAAAAUUGUAUAUAUAACUGAUUUAAAUCAACACUAACAAUUCACAAAACCCCAACACAACACAAACGAGUUAUACGCAUAUACAUACAUACAUACAUAACUAAUAGAGGAGACAAUUCGAGAUAUACCCAAUCAGAAUAAUUAAAGAAAGGGUGGACUGCUGGCCAGAAAACAGAGUUAAUUGGCCGAAGAAUUGAAGGACAACUACUGGCUUCGAGCGGAGUAAAAACGGAGGACAUAGCAGCGGUGGUGGAGAUUGGCAGCGGCUGGAGAUCACGGCGAAGUCUGGAGGCAGUGAAUUUAGAGGUGAAAGAUGGAGACGGAAAGGUGUGUAGGGAUGUAGCGAUCGACUGGGUGGAGUUGAGGGAGAGAGGCGGUGAGGUCGAGAGACUAACAGAGGGGUUGAUACGUGGCACAAAACAAGAAAAAGGAUGUGAGCACCUGUUAUUAUCACAAUUAGCCCACUAUAGUUCAAUUGCUCAAUAAUCACUUAUAUUAUAUCCUUUAACUAAUUUACGGGAAUAACAUACUAGUAAGAUUUUUCUCGACAACUACCGAAAUAUUUUUACAAAUCUCGGAAUAUU